rnacentral:rRNA from 1 species
CGCCUGUUUAUCAAAAACAUAGCCUCUAGCAUAACUAUUAGAGGUGGCGUCUGCCCGGUGAUCUACGGAUUUAACGGCCGCGACUUAGUGCUAAGGUAGCAUAAUCAUUUGUCUUUUUAUUGGAGGCUAGUAUGAAUGGAUUUACGAGGCUCAACUGUCUCUGUCUAUAGAAAUAAAAAUUGAUUUAAAGGUGAAAAAUCCUUUAUAAAUGUGUAGGACGAAAAGACCCUAUAGAGUUUAAGUAUACUCCCGAGCCUAUAUUAUAUAUGUCUUGUGAUAUACUUUUAUUGGGGCAAUAACAGAACAACUAAAUAAAUUCUGAUAAUAACUUUAUCAAUAAACUAUAGUUUAUAAUCUGAUCCUUUAAAAGAAUUGAGAAAAACUACCUUAGGGAUAACAGCGUAAUCCUUCCAGAGAGGGCUAAUCGAAGGAAGGGUUUGCGACCUCGAUGUUGGACUAAGGUUUCUUAACGGUGUAGAAGCUGUAGUGGGCCUGUUCGGCCUUUAAAACCUUACAUGAUCUGAGUUCAGACCGGAAU